UUGCUUGGGCCUUUGGCACAAGUCUUGGCAACGUCCCCACACCCUGAUUCAUGGAGCCGAAGUUCAGUGCACUAGAUCCGAGCCGAAGUUCAGUGCACUAGAUCCGCUCCAAGCCAAUUUUCUAAGCCAAACAAAACACUUAUCCAUGAACACUAACAUUCACCAUCGUUUUCACACCUCUCAGACGCUCGCAUUCUCAUCUCCAAAAUUCAAAACGCGAGCCAAAACACACAAAUCCUUCUGCUUCACCUUCAAUUCUAAUAAAUCAGAGCAACAUUGAAUCUGGAUUUACAAAGUAACUUCGCCAAGUCGAAAAGAAACCAAAAUCAAAAAACUCCUAACCAAUUUGUAUCUUGCACGCGAAAUCGAGGAUUUACGCGAAAAAAUCUUGGAUGAAAUUGAUAAUUGGAGAAAAAGACUUACCAAAUCGAAGUUUCGUCGCAGAGGCUACAGAUUAUGCAGGGUUUAGCUGCUGCUCAGAGCCUGAAGAAGUUGGGCUUGGUGGUGCAGGAGGAGUAACUGGCUUGGCUGGCUUUGGUUUCAUCAGAAUCGGCUUGCAGAAUCUAUGAACAACCUCAACUUUCUUUCUUAUUUCAGCUGACAAGAGUACAAGGUUGGCAGGUUUUGGAAGUGAAUCCUGCCACUGUUUUUUCUCCCUAAGCCAGCCAAAUGAUGGAACAAAACCUCAUCAAAAUCCGUACCACCAAGUGACCUAUCAAACGUAUGAGCCAACAAUUCCAGCUACCCCUUUUUGUACCCAACAGUGCACACUUGCAUACUAGCAUGGCCAAUGUCCACAAAAGCCACAUUCAGCUGACCAUUUUCAGGCAGAUCUGUUUUAUAAAUCCCAUACACUAAUGCAGUAGCAGUAGUUUCAUGAAUUGGUAGUUUGGUUUUAAUGUUAAAUGUGUAGCAAGUUGAUUUUGCUUUGUAAAUGUCAUGGUUUUAUGUGUUGUAAUGUUUUGCAAAUGUAUGAAUAUUAGGUCCAUAUUAUGGUUUAGUGUA